UCUACGGGAGGCAGCAGUGAGGAAUAUUGGUCAAUGGACGAGAGUCUGAACCAUCCAAGUCGCGUGAAUGAUGACUGCCCUAUGGUUGUUAAACUUCUUUUAUCUGGGAGUAAGACAGGGUAUGCAUACCCUCUUGUAUGUACCAUAUGAAUAAGGAUCGGCUAACCCCGUUCCAGCAGCCGCGGUAAUACGGGGGGUCCGAUCGUUGUCCUGAUUUAUUUGGUUUAAAGUGAACGUAGCUGGAUUGUUAAGUCAGUUGUGAAAGUUUGGGGCUUAACCGUAAAAUUGCAGUUGAAACUGGUAGGCUUGAGUACAGUAGAGGGGGGCAGAAUUCGGUGUGUAGCGGGGAAAUGCUUAGAUAUGACGAAGAAUUCCGAUGGCGAAGGCAGCCCACUGGACAGAAACUGACACUGAGGUUCGAAAGUGUGGGGAUCAAACAGGAUUAGAUACCCGGGUAGUC
rnacentral:rRNA from 1 species